UGCAGUCGAGCGGUAGAGAGAAGCUUGCUUCUCUUGAGAGCGGCGGACGGGUGAGUAAUGCCUAGGAAUCUGCCUGGUAGUGGGGGAUAACGUUCGGAAACGGACGCUAAUACCGCAUACGUCCUACGGGAGAAAGCAGGGGACCUUCGGGCCUUGCGCUAUCAGAUGAGCCUAGGUCGGAUUAGCUAGUUGGUGAGGUAAUGGCUCACCAAGGCGACGAUCCGUAACUGGUCUGAGAGGAUGAUCAGUCACACUGGAACUGAGACACGGUCCAGACUCCUACGGGAGGCAGCAGUGGGGAAUAUUGGACAAUGGGCGAAAGCCUGAUCCAGCCAUGCCGCGUGUGUGAAGAAGGUCUUCGGAUUGUAAAGCACUUUAAGUUGGGAGGAAGGGCAUUAACCUAAUACGUUAGUGUUUUGACGUUACCGACAGAAUAAGCACCGGCUAACUCUGUGCCAGCAGCCGCGGUAAUACAGAGGGUGCAAGCGUUAAUCGGAAUUACUGGGCGUAAAGCGCGCGUAGGUGGUUUGUUAAGUUGGAUGUGAAAUCCCCGGGCUCAACCUGGGAACUGCAUUCAAAACUGACUGACUAGAGUAUGGUAAGGGGGGGGGGGAAUUUCCUGGGGUACGGGUGAAAUGCGUAGAUUUAGGAAGGACCACCGUGGGCGAAGGCGACCACCUGGACUAAUACUGACACUGAGGUGCGAAAGCGUGGGGAGCAAACAGGAUUAGAUACCCUGGUAGUCCACGCCGUAAACGAUGUCAACUAGCCGUUGGGAGCCUUGA
rnacentral:rRNA from 1 species